GUGGGGAAUCUUGCGCAAUGGGCGAAAGCCUGACGCAGCCAUGCCGCGUGAAUGAUGAAGGUCUUAGGAUUGUAAAAUUCUUUCACCGGGGACGAUAAUGACGGUACCCGGAGAAGAAGCCCCGGCUAACUUCGUGCCAGCAGCCGCGGUAAUACGAAGGGGGCUAGCGUUGCUCGGAAUUACUGGGCGUAAAGGGCGCGUAGGCGGACAGUUUAGUCAGAGGUGAAAGCCCAGGGCUCAACCGUGGAAUUGCCUUUGAUACUGGCUGUCUUGAGUACGGGAGAGGUGAGUGGAAAUGCGAGGGUAGAGGUGACAUUCGUAGAUAUUCGGAAGAACACCAGUGGCGAAGGCGACUCACUGGCCCGUUACUGACGCUGAGGCGCGAAAGCGUGGGGAGCAAACAGGAUUAGAAACCCGAGUAGUCC
rnacentral:rRNA from 1 species